rnacentral:miRNA from 1 species
AUCUUAUUCCGAGCAUUCCAGUAACUUUUUUGUGUAUGUACUCAGCUGUACUAUAAGUAGUUGGUUUGUAUGAGAUGGUUAAAAA